AAAUCUCUAGAGGUGGCUUUUUAUAGCCUGUUACAACUGAUUUCCUAACCGACUAGGAUCUAUCUCUAAUUUUAAAUGAUAAUAAAUAUUUACAAACACAACUCGUAUCAGAGUUGGUUAUCAUAUCCCAUGGGCCAAUAUCCUUCUUUAGCUAAUCUUUUCUCCAGCCCACUUUAGGCCCAUACUGGCAAAGCCGCUCUAGCACCCAAUCGACCAACCCUUACCGACCCCUUCUGUCAAUCGGCCGAAACACUGUAGCGUCAAUUGGCCGAUUCUCAACUGUACCUUUUAGCUUGCUUCAUCAGCCAGUCUUUUC
rnacentral:lncRNA from 1 species